GCAAAUCAAUAUAAAUUGAUUUAUAAAAUUUAUUUAUUAUAUUUUUUUUUUUAUGUUAUAUACUAUUAAAAAUAAUUAUAAAUAGAUUAUGUUUUAGUAGUUUUUAAUGAAAAAAUAAUUUUUAUAAUAGUUUAUUAAGUAUUGUGUAAGAAUAUUGAAAUAUUUUGAAAAAUUAUUAUUUAAAAAGAAAAUUUUGUUUGUUGUACCUUGUGUAUCAGGGUUUAUUAAAUAAUUAUUAAAUAUUUAUUUAUCUCGAUUUUAUAAGAGUUAAUAAUUUAUAAAAUUUAUUGUGUCAAAACUAUUUUUAAUAAAUUAUUAGAAAUGAAAUGUUAUUCGUUUAUAAAGGUAUCUAGUUUUUUUAGAAAUAAAUUUAAUUUACAAGUUUUUAAUAUUUUAAUUAUUUUUUUAAUUGAAAUAAUUAUUAAUUUGAAUAUUCUAUGGGAUAAGCUUUAGAAUAUAUUAUUAAAAAUUAAUAAAUUUAAUAAUAAAUGUAUGUUUAGAAUUAGCAAUCAUUUAUAAGUUUAUUAUAAAUUAUUUUAUAAUUUAUAAUAUUUAUUAUAUUUUAAUUAUUUAUAAAAAUAAUUUUUUUAAUUAUAUAAAAAGAGAAAUAAUGAUAAAAUUAGUAUAGUAAAUUGUUUAUUUAAUUUAAAAUGAUAAGUUUAUAUAAAGAAUUCGGCAAAUAUUAUAUACUCGCCUGUUUAACAAAAACAUGUCUUUUUGAAUUGUAUAAAAAGUCUGACCUGCCCACUGAAUUUAUUUAAAUGGCCGCAGUAUCCUAACUGUGCAAAGGUAGCAUAAUCAUUAGUCUUUUAAUUGGAGGCUGGAAUGAAUGGUUGGACGAAGUAUAAUCUGUUUCAUUUAAAUUUAUAAUAGAAUUUUAUAUUUUAGUCAAAAAGCUAAAAUUUUAUUAAAAGACGAGAAGACCCUAUAAAUCUUUAUAUUUUAUUUUAUUUAAAUUUUUUGGAUAAUUUUUAUUUUUAUAAUAUAAAAUAUUUUGUUGGGGUGAUAUUAAAAUUUAUAUAACUUUUAAUUUUUAAAAUUCAUUAAUUUAUGUUUUUUUGAUCCAUUAAUAAUGAUUAUAAGAUUAAGUUACUUUAGGGAUAACAGCGUAAUUUUUUUGGAGAGUUCAUAUCGAUAAAAAAGUUUGCGACCUCGAUGUUGGAUUAAAAAUAAUUUUAGGUGUAGCCGCUUAAAUAUUAAGUCUGUUCGACUUU
rnacentral:rRNA from 1 species